GGGAGUCGGAUGAGCUGAGAGGGUCACGUCCGGUUCUGAGAGGGCCUGGGUAUAAGACUCCCCAGGGCUACUUACU
rnacentral:ncRNA from 2 species